rnacentral:rRNA from 1 species
UACGUAGGGUCCGAGCGUUGUCCGGAUUUAUUGGGUUUAAAGGGUGCGUAGGCGGAUCUUUAAGUCAGUGGUGAAAGCCUGCAGCUUAACUGUAGAACAGCCAUUGAAACUGAAGAUCUUGAAUGUGGUUAAAGUAGGCGGAAUGUAUCAUGUAGCGGUGAAAUGCUUAGAUAUGAUACAGAACACCGAUAGCGAAGGCAGCUUGCUGAACCAUUAUUGACGGCUGAGGCACGG